AUGAACGCUAGCUACAGGCUUAACACAUGCAAGUCGAGGGGCAUCAGGAAGAAAGCUUGCUUUCUUUGCUGGCGACCGGCGCACGGGUGAGUAACACGUAUCCAACCUGCCCUUUACUCGGGGAUAGCCUUUCGAAAGAAAGAUUAAUACCCGAUGGCAUAAUGAUUCCGCAUGGUUUCAUUAUUAAAGGAUUCCGGUAAAGGAUGGGGAUGCGUUCCAUUAGGUUGUUGGUGAGGUAACGGCUCACCAAGCCUUCGAUGGAUAGGGGUUCUGAGAGGAAGGUCCCCCACAUUGGAACUGAGACACGGUCCAAACUCCUACGGGAGGCAGCAGUGAGGAAUAUUGGUCAAUGGGCGCUAGCCUGAACCAGCCAAGUAGCGUGAAGGAUGAAGGCUCUAUGGGUCGUAAACUUCUUUUAUAUAAGAAUAAAGUGCAGUAUGUAUACUGUUUUGUAUGUAUUAUAUGAAUAAGGAUCGGCUAACUCCGUGCCAGCAGCCGCGGUAAUACGGAGGAUCCGAGCGUUAUCCGGAUUUAUUGGGUUUAAAGGGAGCGUAGGUGGACUGGUAAGUCAGUUGUGAAAGUUUGCGGCUCAACCGUAAAAUUGCAGUUGAUACUGUCAGUCUUGAGUACAGUAGAGGUGGGCGGAAUUCGUGGUGUAGCGGUGAAAUGCUUAGAUAUCACGAAGAACUCCGAUUGCGAAGGCAGCUCACUGGACUGCAACUGACACUGAUGCUCGAAAGUGUGGGUAUCAAACAGGAUUAGAUACCCUGGUAGUCCACGCCGUAAACGAUGAAUACUAGGUGUUGGGAAGCAUUGCUUCUCGGUGCCGUCGCAAACGCAGUAAGUAUUCCACCUGGGGAGUACGCCGGCAACGGUGAAACUCAAAGGAAUUGACGGGGGCCCGCACAAGCGGAGGAACAUGUGGUUUAAUUCGAUGAUACGCGAGGAACCUUACCCGGGCUUAAAUUGCAGUGGAAUGAUGUGGAAACAUGUCAGUGAGCAAUCACCGCUGUGAAGGUGCUGCAUGGUUGUCGUCAGCUCGUGCCGUGAGGUGUCGGCUUAAGUGCCAUAACGAGCGCAACCCUUAUCUUCAGUUACUAACAGGUCAUGCUGAGGACUCUAGAGAGACUGCCGUCGUAAGAUGUGAGGAAGGUGGGGAUGACGUCAAAUCAGCACGGCCCUUACGUCCGGGGCUACACACGUGUUACAAUGGGGGGUACAGAAGGCAGCUAGCGGGUGACCGUAUGCUAAUCCCAAAAUCCUCUCUCAGUUCGGAUCGAAGUCUGCAACCCGACUUCGUGAAGCUGGAUUCGCUAGUAAUCGCGCAUCAGCCACGGCGCGGUGAAUACGUUCCCGGGCCUUGUACACACCGCCCGUCAAGCCAUGGGAGCCGGGGGUACCUGAAGUACGUAACCGCAAGGAUCGUCCUAGGGUAAAACUGGUGACUGGGGUU
rnacentral:rRNA from 1 species